UACGAAGGGUGCAAGCGUUACUCGGAAUUACUGGGCGUAAAGCGUGCGUAGGUGGUGAGUUAAGUCUGUCGUGAAAGCCCCGGGCUCAACCUGGGAAUGGCGAUGGAUACUGGCUCGCUAGAGUGCGGUAGGGGAGAGUGGAAUUCCCGGUGUAGCAGUGAAAUGCGUAGAGAUCGGGAGGAACAUCAGUUGCGAAGGCGGCUCUCUGGACCAGCACUGACACUGAGGCACGAAAGCGUGGGGAGCAAACAGG
rnacentral:rRNA from 1 species